AGGCGCGUAGCUCAGCUGGUUAGAGCACUACCUUGACAUGGUAGGGGUCGUUGGUUCGAGUCCAAUCGUGCCUA
rfam:Oxalobacteraceae bacterium IMCC9480 ctg_727, whole genome shotgun sequence.